UUCUUUAUCGAAGGAUAAAGCUAAGAUGGAAGCAGGUGUGAAUCCUGCACGGUCCCGCCACUGUAAGGGAAGAGUGGUUUUCAGCAUGUCACUGGAGUAUGCGGCAGCCGCCGCACUCUGGGAAGACGAAAAUUGCAAAGAUGCCCGAGUCAGGAGACAUGCG
rnacentral:ncRNA from 1 species